UUGGGAAUCUUGCACAAUGGGGGAAACCCUGAUGCAGCGACGCCGCGUGGAGGAUGAAGGGUCUAGGCUCGUAAACUCCUUUUUCAGGGAAAGACUUAGGACGGUACCCUGAGAAUAAGCUCCGGCUAACUACGUGCCAGCAGCCGCGGUAAGACGUAGGGAGCGAGCGUUGUCCGGAUUUACUGGGCGUAAAGAGCACGUAGGCGGUCUGUUAAGUGAGAAGUGAAAUCUCCAGCGCUCAACGCGGAAACGGCUUUUCAUACUGGCAGACUUGAGGGAUGCAGAGGCAAGUAGAAUUCCUGGUGUACCGGUGACAUGGGUUGAUAUCAGGAGGAAUACCAAUGGCGAAGGCAGCUUGCUGGGCAUCAUCUGACGCUGAGGUGCGAAAGCGUGGGUAGCAAACAGG
rnacentral:rRNA from 1 species